rnacentral:rRNA from 1 species
CGAAGAUAAGACGGAUUAGCGGCGGACGGGUGAGUAACACGUGAGUAACCUGCCUUUUACACAGGGAUAGCCUCGGGAAACCGGGAUUAAAACCUGAUGAAACUAUCAAAUCACAUGAUUAAGAAAGUUAAAACUCCGGUGGUAAAAGAUGGACUCGCGUCCCAUUAGCUAGUUGGUGAAGGUAACGGCCCACCAAGGCAACGAUGGGUAGCCGGCCUGAGAGGGUGAACGGCCACAUUGGAACUGAGAAACGGUCCAAACUCCUACGGGAGGCAGCAGAC